GGGGGGGUACUGCAUGCUUACACAUGCAGUCGUACGAGAAUUUUUAAUUCAAGUGGCGGACGGGUGAGUAACACGUAAGCAUUUGCCUUUAGGAGGGGGACAACAACUGGAAACGGUUGCUAAUACCCCAUAUGCUUUCGAGUGAAAUGGAUUUUUCCGCCUAGAGAGAAGCUUGCGGCUGAUUAGCUUGUUGGUGAGGUAAUGGCUUACCAAGGCGACGAUCAGUAUCUGGUUUGAGAGGACGAUCAGACACACUGGAACUGAGACACGGUCCAGACUCCUACGGGAGGCAGCAGUGGGGAAUUUUCCGCAAUGGGCGAAAGCCUGACGGAGCGAUCUCGCGUGAGGGAUGACGGCCUAUGGGUUGUAAACCUCUUUUUUCAGGGAGGAAUAAAAUGACGUGUACCUGAAGAAUAAGCAUCGGCUAACUCCGUGCCAGCAGCCGCGGUAAGACGGAGGAUGCAAGUGUUAUCCGGAAUCACUGGGCGUAAAGCGUCUGUAGGUGGUUUAAUAAAUCAACUGUUAAAUCUUGAAGCUCAACUUCAAAAUCGCAGUCGAAACUAUUAGACUAGAGUAUAGUAGGGGUAAAGGGAAUUUCCAGUGGAGCGGUGAAAUGCGUAGAGAUUGGAAAGAACACCGAUGGCGAAGGCACUUUACUGGGCUAUUACUGACACUCAGAGACGAAAGCUAGGGUAGCAAAUGGGAUUAGAUACCCCAGUAGUCCUAGCCGUAAACAAUGGAUACUAGAUGUUGAACAGAUCGACCUGUGCAGUAUUAAAGCUAACGCGUUUAGUAUCCCGCCUGGGAAGUAUGCUCGCAAGAUUGAAACUCCAAAGAAUUGACG
rnacentral:rRNA from 1 species